UACGGAGGGGCUAGCGUUGUUCGGAAUCAUUGGGCGUAAAGGCGCGUAGGCGGCCGAUCAAGUCGGAGGUGAAAUCCCUCGGCUCAACUGAGGAAUUGCCUUCGAUACUGUUCGGCUUGAGUCCUGGAGAGGGUAGCGGAAUUCCCGGUGUAGCGGUGAAAUGCGUAGAGACCGGGAAGAACACCAGUGGCGAAGGCGGCUACCUGGACAGGUACUGACGCUGAAGCGCGAAAGCUAGGGGAGCAAACGGG
rnacentral:rRNA from 1 species